UACAGAGGGUGCGAGCGUUAAUCGGAAUUACUGGGCGUAAAGCGUGCGUAGACGGCUAUCUAAGUCGGGUGUGAAAGCCCCCGGGCUCAACCUGGGAAUUGCAUUCGAGACUGAAUAGCUAGGGUACGGUAGAGGGAAGCGGAAUUUCCGGUGUAGCGGUGAAAUGCGUAGAUAUCGGAAGGAACAUCAGUGGCGAAAGCGGCUUCCUGGACCAGUACCGACGUCAGGCACGAAAGCGUGGGGAGCAAACAGGA
rnacentral:rRNA from 1 species